GACGAACGCUGGCGGCGUGCUUAACACAUGCAAGUCGAACGGACAGACCCGGCUUUUGUGGGUUGCUCGAGUGGCGAACGGGUGAGUAACACGUGAGUAACCUGCCCUUGACUUUGGGAUAACUUCAGGAGACUGGGGCUAAUACCGGGUAGGAGCUCCUGCUGCAUGUUGGGGGUUGGAAAGUUUCGGCGGUUGGGGAUGGACUCGCGGCUUAUCAGCUUGUUGGUGGGGUAGUGGCUGUCCAAGGCUUUGACGGGUAGCCGGCCUGAGAGGGUGACCGGGCACAUUGGGACUGAGAUACGGAGCAGACUCCUACGGGAGGCAGCAGGGGGGAAUAUUGCACAAUGGGCGGAAGCCUGAUGCAGCAACGCCGCGUGCGGGAUGACGGCCUUCGGGUUGUAAACCGCUUUCGCCUGUGACGAAGCGUGAGUGACGGUAAUGGGUAAAGAAGCACCGGCUAACUACGUG
rnacentral:rRNA from 1 species